rnacentral:rRNA from 1 species
UACGUAGGGGGCAAGCGUUGUCCGGAAUCACUGGGCGUAAAGCGCGCGCAGGCGGUCAUCUACGUCUGGGGUGAAAGCCCGGAGCUCAACUCCGGGACUGCCUUGGAUACGGGAUGACUUGAGGAUCGGAGAGGCAAGGGGAAUUCCACGUGUAGCGGUGAAAUGCGUAGAGAUGUGGAGGAACACCUGUGGCGAAGGCGCCUUGCUGGCCGAUUUCUGACGCUGAGGCGCGAAAGCUAGGGGAGCAAACGGG